UCUGACUGAACAGUUACAUUACGUACCAAACAACCUUACUCGCUUUACAUUAAAACGACACCGCAAUGGAGAAACUUCUUAUUUUUCUCUCUCUCUUCCUACUCAUAGCACCAUUCUCCACCGCAAACUUUAAUCCUCACCCGCCGUCCGCCGCCCACGUCGAGCUAACAAACUAUGGCUUCCCUAUCGGGCUCCUCCCAGCCUCCGUCGUAAAGUACAGUUUAAACCAGACCUCCAGCGAAUUCACCGUGAAUUUCGGAGGCUCGUGUAAAAUCACGCUGCCUCCUGAUAAUUACUUGGCCACGUAUUCUAAAAAAGUGACGGGUAAGAUCGGGUCGGGUCGGAUCUCGGAGCUGGAUGGUAUUCGUGUUUGGGCAUUUUUUAAGUGGUGGUCUAUUACAGGGAUUAGGUCUAACGGGGAGGAUUUGGUAUUUGAGGUAGGUAUGGCUACGGCUAAAUAUCCGGUGAAGAAUUUCCUUGAAAGUCCUCCGUGUGAAGGGAAGCGUGCUUCUUCUUGAGAGGGCAGAGGUCGAUGGACUUUGGGUGAAAACUCAACCUCCAAAGCUGAAGUAUCAAUCUAUGUCCAACUUGGUUCUGAUCCGAUGCAUCUAUUAUCUAUUUAAUGGUUUCCCCUGCUGCUCUAGAAGAGGCUUUAAGCAGAUCCAAUAAAUUGUAAGCCAUUUAUAUUUAUUUAGAUUAUAUCGAUCAGGAUCUUCAUGUGCGCCUUUAGGCUUUGUAUCUGUAUAUAAGCCACGGAUUAUAUGAAGCAACGUUGUUAAAAUUAAAACUGUUAUUUGGGUAA